ACAUGCGGGCAGACUUAUAGUGGGUGCGUGUGACACAGUACCGACAGAAACUGGGGACAGCUGACGACGAACCGGCCCUGGCGGACACCCCGGUGACCGGAAACUCACGCCUGUACUCAUUCGUUGCUCCUAUAUUUCGGAACGGUGACUCGACGCAGACGUCUUCACGUGAGGAAUUGUAACCUUUCGCUGGAAAGAUCUGACGUGGAGAAAACCAAACGACAAAGCGAUCUUCCAAAAAGCACUAAAUUUGAGAUGCCCCUGCGGCAGAAUUCGCCCGGCUGACCGGGGAACCACCAUCGGACUGCUGUCUUGGCUUCAUCGUUCCACGUGAAUCGCUGUCCUGCUAGGAACUUCUUUAGCGUACCGAAAACGGGGAAAGCACACGAGGCGAGUCCCGGAU